GCGGGGGUGCCCGAGCUAGGUCAAAGGGGUCGGGCUCAGGCCCCGAUGGCGUAGGCCUGCGUGGGUUCGAAUCCCACCCCCCGCACCA
rnacentral:tRNA from 1 species